CAUCUUCCAUCCCAGCAUUGCUGCAUGUGAGCCUGCCCAGCUCCCUCCAACGGCCCCUCCGGCACUUUAGGAGAUGCUGGAAACCCAGAGCAUAUUUCCCCAGGUUCUGGAGCUGAGUGCGAUCCCACGACAUUCUGACCCUACACCUGGGCCUGGAGCGCCUGGCAACUUGGGCUUGUUUGGCACCAAGAUGGAAGCCCCAGAAUACAGGGAGACAGCCCCGGGCCAGAUCCAAACGCAGAACCCCUUCUGAAUCAUCUGGCUGGAGAUGGGAAUCGGGGAAAAGUGGGUUGGAAAUCUGGCAGCCAGGGGCAAGCAGACUGCCCACAGGAAUUCACGGGGUCGAAGCCUUGAGGAAAAAAAACAAGAAAAGAAAAGAAAGAGAAGAAUGUACAAGGAGCACAUUGUGGCCAGCUACAGAUGGAAACAAGCCCCACUGUACGAACAAGCAAAGGGAAAGUCGUGUUGGGGCAUUAUCUCUGGCAACCUGAUCUGCUCCAGUAUGGAAGAAGAAGAAGCAGGGGCCAGGAGGGAGGGAGGGAGAGAGAGAAAGAGGAAGAGAGAGAAAUGGAGAGGGGAGCUGGGAAAGGAGAGAGCCCUAGGGCCCGAUGGAAGUAGAAGAGGCCCCAUAUUUUCAUUUUGCUGCUGAUUCUGAAUCCCAGUGACAUUUUUUGUUGUUUUUCAUGUUAUUUGUUAAGCGCUUACUAUGUGCCAGACACUGUACUAAGAGGGGGAAACCCAAGAGAGCUCUUAAAUUAAGAAUCCAUGUUUUGGGAGGCUUUCUAUGGCAUUUGUCUAAGCACUUACUAUGUGCUAGGGACUGUACUAAGCUCUGGGGAGAUACAAGAUAAUCAGGUUGGACACAGCCCCUGAUCCACAUGGGCUCACCUUCUUAAUCCCCAUUUUACAGAUGAGGUAACUGAGGCACAGAGAAGUUAAAUGACUUGCCCAAGGUCCCACAGCAGACAAGUUGCAGAGCCGGGAUUAGACCCCAGGUCCUCUAACUCCCCAGCCUGUGUUCUUCCCACUAGGCCGUGCUGCUUCUCUAUAGUAUUGUCAGAAGCAGUGGAUAGAGCAUGGGCCUGGGAGUCAGUGUAUCUGAGUUCUAAUUCCGGCUCUGCUACUUGCUCACUGUGUGACCUUGGGCAAGACACUUAAUUUCUCUGUGCCUCCGUUUCCUCAACUGUAAAUUGAGAAUUCAAUACCUCUUCUCCUUCCUACCUGGACUAUAAGCCCCAUGUGGGGCAGGGACUGUGUCCAACCUGAUUAGCUUGUAUCUACUCCAGUGCUUAGAACAAUGCCUGUCUCAUAGUAAACUCUUUAACAAAUACCAUUUAAAAACUUUGUGUCUACUCCAGCACUUAGUGUUUGAUACAUAGAAAGUGGCUAACAGAUAUAAUAAUAAUAAUAGUAACAAUAUUUUGUGCAAAAGUUAACUACACCCAUCGAGACACAGACUGACUCUGCCCACACAAGAACCCCCCAAAAACAGCACUAUGGCCCCAGAACUGUCCCCCAUAUGCUGACUUGGACUGUGAGCCCCAUGUGGGACAGGGUCUGUUUCCAACCUGAUUAUCUUGAAUCCACUGCAGUGCUUAACGCAGUGCUUGGCUCGUGGUAAGUGCUUGACAAGUACCAUUAGUGAAGGAGAUAUGAAAGCUGAGAAAACUGCUCUUCCUUUUCCACUGGCAGAAGCAGGGCAUUCCCCCUCCAUCGACAUACAUACACACAGCUCCCUUCAUUUGGGCCUCUUGUGAGAGGCCUUAGGGGCAAGUCCUGGCUUUGAAGCCUCCUUCAGGAUGGAGGUUUGGGGAGAUGGGGGUGUUUGGGAGGGAUGAACUGAAUUCACUGGCCACCUGCGUAGGUCAUCAUUGCUUAGAUCCAGCGCUUAGGGGCUGAGUGGGAACUGAGCCAGAGAUUCACCCCUUCUCUGUGCUGCCCCACCCCACUACAUUCCCCUAAAGAGUUUAUUUCUGGUGCAACGUAUGCGUGUAUACGUCAAUCGGUGUAUAUAUUUAACUACACAUGUUUUCAUAUGAAGAGGUCAGGAAAUACGAGCCAAAAGCUCACUAAGCCGCUUAUUUAUUGUACCAGAGAGGAAUAUUCUUCACAUCCUGAGGCUUUGUCAGGCCAGGGGCCCGGGGCAAAGACAGAUAGUGCUGACAACAUUGUCUGUCAGAGGGUUUUGCCCGGAGCUGCAGCUGGGAGCUCGCGGGGAAUUCAGGCCAGUGGGUAACCCUUUCCUACCCGGAUUACUAGAGAGGGAGCAGCAACCCUUGUAGCCAUACCCCGGGGCAUGAGUGGGAAGGGAGGGAGUCGGGUCGCAGUUCAGAUACACCAGGACAAUUUGUCCCUUUGGGGCUCCCAACACCCCCUUUUCCAACCCCCAAAGAAAACACAUCUGAAGUUCCAAGCUUCGGACCUGCUUUACAGAAGUUCUAGCAACACACAGGUGUGUGGUUGAUUGCCCACUCUGGGGCUCUGUGAGGGGAAGAAGAGACUGUGCUCUGUGUGUGUGUGAGAGAGAGUACAAUUUGUGAACAUGCAUGCUUGGUACUUGGUUGUGUAAGCAUCCUCUUGUGUGUGCAUGUGUAUUUCUAUAGGUUACAGAUGUGCCAGGGUCUUUGUUAGAAAUGAAUUUAAUUUCCAGAAUUUCCCCAGUGGAAAUUUAUCUUCCUGGGGUUUCUAUUGAGCAAAUGCUGCUUGAACAUAGGCAUCCACCCCUCUCCCUCCCACCCACCCAGUGGGUUCCAUAAUCCCCCAGAGAGAUCAGGGCCUGAUUCUGAGUGGAAAUGUAACCCAGACUUUCAAAGCGGAGUCAACGAUGAAACUGCUCCUUCUUAGAAAGUCUCUGUACUGGUGGCCGGUGGAUCAGGGUAUCGCUGGAUGGGGAGAGCCACCACUUCCCGCAAUUGGGUGCUAGAGCAAUUCCAAGCACCUGGGAGCCUUGGUAUUUUGUGGGUGGCAUUCCGGCUGUGUGUCUGGGCGCACUGCACCCACGCACUUGUUCGCGUCUCACGUGUCUGGGAGUGCUUACAUCCCUGCAGGUGAGAAUGUUCUCGUUCCUUCAGAACCACUGCCUGCUUUUCUCUCCCCGACCUUUGCCAGCACCAUCCUCCUCCUCCCAGUCUGGGCAGUGCCUCCCUCAAAACUAUUCAUUCCACAAACCUCUCCCUGUCCGUCCAGAACCCACCUCAAGUGGAGCCCAGACAGGACCAGGAGCCGGGAUGUGCCAACCGUAUGAAACUACAGUCUGCGGCGUCAGCCCCGGAUUCUCGACUCCUUCCCUUCCACCACGUGGGUUGGACUGUCUUUAGGCUGCUGGUUUUUCUUAAAAGGUACUAGGCAUUCCUAUAAAUACAUUUUACAGGACUAAAAAUUCCAUUCACAACUGGGACUGCUUCCUUUUCAGUGGAAAUCCCUGGCCUCUGUCCCUGUCCCCAUCCUCUCUCCCUGUCACUGUUUGUCCAGGUUGGAAUCUGCCUCCCUUAGUGCUUACCGACAGACCCAGAGAUAUAACUGUUUUCUCCCACAAAGGUGGCAAGGGCCACACACAAAACAUGCCCUCCUUCAUUUCCAGGCCUCCCCUCUUAACAACCUUUCCUCCCCGCCCCCGCCACUUCCACCCCACUACACCCCCCACCCUGCCAAAAGCAAACCCACACCCUUAACUGUGAGUUUCCUGACUUCUCUGGCUUCCAUUCAGAUCUUUCAGAAAGGGCCUCAGGAAGCACAGGAACACAGCUAGACCUAAGCAGGAGG
rnacentral:lncRNA from 1 species